GAACGGGUGAGUAACACGUGAGCAACCUGCCCCUGGCUCUGGGACAACCACUGGAAACGGUGGCUAAUACCGGAUACGACUCAUCACCGCAUGGUGUGUGGGUGGAAAGUUUUUCGGCUGGGGAUGGGCUCGCGGCCUAUCAGCUUGUUGGUGGGGUAAUGGCCUACCAAGGCGACGACGGGUAGCCGGCCUGAGAGGGCGACCGGCCACACUGGGACUGAGACACGGCCCAGACUCCUACGGGAGGCAGCAGUGGGGAAUAUUGCACAAUGGGCGAAAGCCUGAUGCAGCGACGCCGCGUGAGGGAUGACGGCCUUCGGGUUGUAAACCUCUUUCAGCUCCGAAGAAGCGAAAGUGACGGUAGGAGCAGAAGAAGCACCGGCUAACUACGUGCCAGCAGCCGCGGUAAUACGUAGGGUGCAAGCGUUGUCCGGAAUUAUUGGGCGUAAAGAGCUCGUAGGCGGUUUGUCGCGUCUGCUGUGAAAACUCAGGGCUCAACUCUGAGCUUGCAGUGGGUACGGGCAGACUUGAGUGCUGUAGGGGAGACUGGAAUUCCUGGUGUAGCGGUGAAAUGCGCAGAUAUCAGGAGGAACACCGGUGGCGAAGGCGGGUCUCUGGGCAGUUACUGACGCUGAGGAGCGAAAGCAUGGGGAGCGAACAGGAUUAGAUACCCUGGUAGUCCAUGCCGUAAACGUUGGGCGCUAGGUGUGGGGUCCAUUCCACGGAUUCCGUGCCGCAGCUAACGCAUUA
rnacentral:rRNA from 1 species